AUUGAACGCUGGCGGCAUGCUUUACACAUGCAAGUCGAACGGCAGCACGGGUGCUUGCACCUGGUGGCGAGUGGCGAACGGGUGAGUAAUGCACCGGAACGUACCCAGUAAUGGGGGAUAACACAUCGAAAGAUGUGCUAAUACCGCAUACGCCCUGAGGGGGAAAGCGGGGGAUCGUAAGACCUCGCGUUAUUGGAGCGGCCGAUGCCGGAUUAGCUAGUUGGUGAGGUAAGAGCUCACCAAGGCGACGAUCCGUAGCUGGUCUGAGAGGACGACCAGCCACACUGGGACUGAGACAUGGCCCAGACUCCUACGGGAGGCUG
rnacentral:rRNA from 1 species